GAGCAUAAUACUCGAUAGAUCAUAAUGCCUGGAAUGGUUUAUGGUUAAAAUGAUUCGUCGCCAUAGGAUGGGACUGCGGCCUAUCAGCUUGUUGGUGAGGUAAUGGCCCACCAAGGCGAUUACAGGUACGGGCUCUGAGAGGAGAAGCCCGGAGAUGGGUACUGAGACAAGGACCCAGGCCCUAUGGGGCGCAGCAGGCGAGAAAACUUUGCAAUGUGCGAAAGCACGACAAGGUUAAUCCGAGUGAUUUCUGCUAAAGAAAUCUUUUGCAAGUCAUAAAACCACCAGUGAAUAAGGGGUGGGCAAGUUCUGGUGUCAGCCGCCGCGGUAAAACCAGCACCUCAAGUGGUCAGGAGGAUUAUUGGGCCUAAAGCAUCCGUAGCCGGCUCUGUAAGUUUUCGGUUAAAUCCAUGUGCUCAACGCAUGGGCUGCCGAAAAUACUGCAUAGCUAGGGAGUGGGAGAGGUAGACGGUACUCAGUAGGAAGGGGUAAAAUCCUUUGAUCUAUUGAUGACCACCUGUGGCGAAGGCGGUCUACCAGAACACGUUCGACGGUGAGGGAUGAAAGCUGGGGGAGCAAACCGGAUUAGAUACCCGGGUAGUCCCAGCUGUAAACGAUGCAGACU
rnacentral:rRNA from 1 species